rnacentral:rRNA from 1 species
UAAUACCCCAUAGAUAUUCAAUGCUGGAAGGCUUGGAUAUCGAAAGCGCAAGCGCCAGAGGGUGAGUCUGCGGCCUAUCAGGUAGUAGGUGGUGUAACGGACCACCUAGCCUAAGACGGGUACGGGCCUUGAGAGAGGGAGCCCGGAGAUGGGUUCUGAGACACGAACCCAGGCCCUACGGGGCGCAGCAGGCGCGAAACCUUCGCACUGCGCGAAAGCGCGACGAGGGGAGCCCGAGUGCCUCUCCAUUUCGGGGAGGCUUUUCACAAGCCUAAAAAGCUUGUGGAAUAAGGGCUGGGCAAGACGGGUGCCAGCCGCCGCGGUAAUACCCGCAGCUCGAGUGGUGGUCGCUUUUAUUGAGCCUAAAACGUUCGUAGUCGGCCUUGUAAAUCCCUGGGUAAAUCGGACCGCUUAACGGUUCGAAUUCCGGGGAGACUGCAAGGCUAGGGACCGGGCGAGGUCAGAGGUACUUUCGGGGUAGGAGUGAAAUCCUGUAAUCCCGAAGGGACCACCUGUGGCGAAAGCGUCUGACUUGAACGGCUCCGACGAUGAGGAACGAAGGCUAGGGGAGCAAACCGGAUUAGAUACCCGGGUAGUCCUAGCUGUAAACUCUGCCCGCUUGGUGUGGCCUGUCCUUCGGGGGCAGGCUGUGCCGGAGCGAAGGUGUUAAGCGGGCUGCUUGGGGAGUACGGCCGCAAGGUUGAAACUUAAAGGAAUUGGCGGGGGAGCACCGCAACGGGAGGAUGCGUGCGGUUUAAUGGAGUCAACGC